rnacentral:rRNA from 1 species
AUCGAUAAUCCACGUUANUUUUCACUUUAAUUUAAAACCUAUAUACCGCCAUACUAAAAAUUAAUUUCAAAACAUUUUUUUAAAACCAAAUAAAAUAUUAGGUCAAGGUGUAAUUUAUAUUAAAGAAUAAAUGAGUUACAUUAAAUAAAAUUUAAAGAUUUUUUAUAAAUAUAUAUCUAUAAAUAAGAAUUUAAAAGCAAUAUUUAAAUAAUACUAUAAUAUGAUAUAGAAAAUAAAUGUGCACACAUCGCCC